ensembl:lncRNA
CAGUCUGCCCCCCAGCCCACUGAUAGCAACCAUCAUAAUGCCCCACCCAGCUUCCGGCACCUUUCGCCACUCCGGCACAAACCGACACAGCUUUGCGAUCUCGCCAGCAUGCAGUCUGAUGUCUUCCCUAUAGAUGAUUCCAGAGACUCUGUGAGGCCACUAUUACAAGGUGAGACGCUUUGCGUUGAUUGGUGCUGCUGGACCACACUGGAGGUGCGAGUCCGCCGUGUAAUGGUUUAUGCCAUUACAAAGGAGCUGGCCUCUGUACUCAACUGGGCAGGGGAAAAAAAACCAAGGACCAGACAAAGCAAAAAAGGGCAUUUAAAGAGACAGCGCUGUGCAGAUGCAUAUUUGAUGGCCUGGCGCAGCAGGUAGGAGCGAACUCUAUGUCUGAGUUGGUCUUUGCUUAAGCAGUCCAGAAAUGGCUCAGAUAUGCUCCAGAUCGUAUGGGUGGCGCGCAGGAUGCACAUUAUCCAUCCCCAUCCCGGAGUAAAUAAUAAAAAGUGACGUGAAACAUAGAAAUGUAAAUAGGAAACUUUGUCUUUUAAUAAAGUAUUUUGCAAAUG